CCUGGAGCAGGCAGGUGAGGCCGCUGCCGGGGUCCCCCGGAACCGAAGGGGACUCCUUGGGGGUCCUCGGGGACAAUCACAGAAAACGAUCCUCCGGAAGAAGGUGGACAGGAGGACUUCUUGGACAAACCCGGGGGUUCUUUCUGGAGCCCAUUCACAGCCCGGAGGACCUGAGCUUCGCCCCACAACCCGCCGGCAGAUGAGCGGUGGUCUAGGGCCGGUCUGCGAGACAAGGCUCCGGCUCGGGGAGUCGGCCUCUCUCCACGUUGGCCCACCCACCGCCAGGACGAAAGAAACAACCACGCGAGUUCCCGGGUUCGGCUUGCGUAUUUCGGUCACUUUUCAAGCCGGGAGCGGGGGCGGCCGGGGACUCCCGGGGCUUCCGAGGAGCUUCUGGGCGUCCCCUCCCGAAGUGUUGGGGAGACUGCGGCUGCUCGCACGGUCACACCGGCAGCUCCAGAAAAGACCCGCCGUGUUGGCCGGUGGGAGCCACCCAUCCUCCCCAGCUCGGCAGCAGAGCCAGCUCGGCUGCUGCGCAAAUUCGCCGUCGGGGCACAGGGUGCCAUCGCGUGGCCCCCGAGAUCCCGAGCGGGGGCCCCGGAGGGGCGCGGGCAGGGCGAGCUGAGCGGUUGCCCGCGGAGUCCGACGCCCCUGCCGGCGCGGAGGCCGUAGCGGCCGCUCGCCCUCCCUCGGCGCCCCCCUGCCCGGGACGCCUCGGAAACACCCAUUGGAAAAAAUUUUCGGGGGGUUUUCUAGUGAGGGGGCGGACGGAGUGUCGGGAAGCUCGGACCCUCCCUGGACGAAGGGACUGUCCUGGACGAGGUCGCUCCAGAUCUCCCGACAGACUGACAUUGCCGGCGGCGUGGCAGUUUGGUAGGCUCAGUUCGGAAGAGGGACUGUCGCGCUGACAGCGUUUCCUCCGCCAACUUCAGGGACCCUGCCCCUUCUACGGUCAAGUUGUCCCACACGAGUGCUCCUCGCCUUGGACACGAGGGUUAGGAAAAAGCUCAAAACCCAACAGGAGGAGGAAAACCUUUCCCUGCGUCCCUCUGCCAGCUUCUAUAAACCCAGAGAGCCCCCUUUCCCCAGUACUACAGGAAGGCUUCGCCCCCACCCAGGCAGGCGCGCCACCCAACACCUUCUGGGGAAAUCUUGUGUUUGUGCCUCAAGCUUGUCAGAGGGCAGUCGCUGCAGACCGAGCCCCUCUCUGGGGCAGCCAGAAAGGGAUCCCCGCGCCGCCCCCCAACCCCUCCAGGCUUUGGCAGCGGCCGCCAAGACAGCAGAAGCCGCCCAGACACGGGAGCUGAGAGGUGGUGGUGAAAUGGUGGAGUCCAUGUGUGCGUCCUGAAACACCAGACCAUUUCCAGGCUUCUCCUGGAUUCCUGGGAGAAAAGGAGCCCAAAGCGGACUUUGGGGGAUUCGCUUCCGCACCCCGCCCCUCCCCCCGCCCGCUCGAGCCCCGGCGCAGUCCCCACCCAGCAUUCCGGGACUUGUGUCAGGGCGGGAGCGGAGACCCGGAUGGCUCUUUGCCCGCCCCCCUCGCUCGUUCCACUCUCGCUCGGCUUUUGCUCCUUUCCUUUCUUCCACGGACGCUCAGCCAAGAGAUUGCGCAAGCUUCCUGCUGCCGGUCCUUCAAGGGCCCGGAGCCGGGGGCCCGGGAACACCCCCGGGUAGGCGCACCCCCGCCCCUGUCACUCGGGUCGCCCUGCCCCCUCCCCAGCACCCCCCCCUUCUCACUCCGACCCCACAGAGCUCGCGGCCCCGCGGGCGGCGCCCUCGGGAGGCCGCGUGGGGCGCAGCAGCUCCCCCAGCCGGACGCCGGAGCUGCACGCCGGAACGCGCCGUCUCGCCGCCGGAGGUGCUAAACUUCACACUCGGCGGCUUCUCUGGCCAGGUCGGGAGGGCCUCGGCUCGGCCGCGGCUGCCGGCCGGGGACCAAGGAGCGCGAAUUCGUAACCAGCGCUUGGCUCCUCGGCCAUUCCAUUCACCUCCCUUUCGUGCGGCCCCGCUGUGCCCUGUUCAGUUUCAACCCUUUCUUGGCCUUCCCUGCCUUCUCUUUUCGAAGCCCUUCCCGGGACCCCACCAAGUCCUCUCGGGCCCCCAAGUAGACCUGGACAUCCUCUUCGUCCUCUCUUUGUCCUCCCUGCCUCACGCCGUGUUGGCCGCGGGGUGGGGGUGGAGGGUUGCUGCUGGAAACCCGACCUCCCGCCCGCGCCCCGCCAAAGACAGUGCUGAGGGUAAAGUAGGAGCCCAGCAGGAUUCGGGGAGGGAUCGAGAACACUCUGGUAGGGUUCUUGAGCUCUAGGGCCCCAGGCUGGCUGCUCCUCUAUCCUCUUUCUCCUCUCGGCGCUCUUCUCCCUGGCGAUCCUUUGCACCCAGUCCUCUCUCUCCUCCCUAUUUCUCUUCCAUUCCUCGCCUUCCUAAAUGCCCUCAGCCUCCUGGGG
ensembl:lncRNA